UACGUAGGGUGCGAGCGUUAAUCGGAAUUACUGGGCGUAAAGCGUGCGCAGGCGGCUUUGCAAGACAGAUGUGAAAUCCCCGGGCUCAAUCUGGGAACUGCAUUUGUGACUGCAAGGCUAGAGUACGGCAGAGGGGGAUGGAAUUCCGCGUGUAGCAGUGAAAUGCGUAGAUAUGCGGAGGAACACCAAUGGCGAAGGCAAUCCCCUGGGCCUGUACUGACGCUCAUGCACGAAAGCGUGGGGAGCAAACAGG
rnacentral:rRNA from 1 species